UUUGGGUGUACCGAGACACCCAAGCCAUAGCUCGCUCGAAGUAUUUUAAUCGCAAAAUACCCCUCGAUUUGUUGUGCAAACUUUUCUAUCACAAAUCUUGCCCCGAUAUAUCAAAUGUAGCUUAUUUUCUAAAAGGAAAUUUUAUCUCCAUAGUAACUUAACAAGGUCAUUUUCGAUUUUUCCAAUAGUUUUCCCGGCAAAUGUGAAAACUGC